rnacentral:rRNA from 1 species
GAUGAACGCUAGCGGCAGGCCUAAUGCAUGCCAGUCGGACGGGAUUCAGGAGCUUGCUUCUGAUGAGAGUGGCGCACGGGUGCGUAACACGUAUGUAACCUACCUUUAUCAGGGGGAUAGCCUCUCGAAAGAGAGAUUAAGCCCGCAUAAAAUCACAGCACAGCAUUGUGUAAUGAUCAAAUAUUUAUAGGAUAAAGAUGGGCAUGCGGAACAUUAGCUAGAUGGCGGGGUAACGGCCCACCAUGGCGACGAUGUUUAGGGGAUCUGAGAGGAUGGCCCCCGAGACUGGUACUGAGACACGUACCAGACUCCUACGGGAGGCAGCAGUAAGGAAUAUUGGUCAAUGGGCGGAAGCCUGAACCAGCCAUGCCGCGUGCAGGAAGACGGCCCUACGGGUUGUAAACUGCUUUUAGACGGGAAUAAACCCAGAUACGUGUAUCUGGCUGAAUGUACUGUAAGAAUAAGGAUCGGCUAACUCCGUG